CGGAGCUACCCAGCAAUGGGAGUGCGAAUCUCGAAAGCCUGUCUCAGUUCGGAUUGGAGGGCUGCAACUCGCCUACAUGAAGUCGGAAUCGCUAGUAAUCGCGGAUCAGCAUGCCGCGGUGAAUACGUUCCCGGGCCUUGUACACACCGCCCGUCACACCAUGAGAGUUUGUAACACCCAAAGCCGGGUGGGGUAACCUUCUGGAGCCAGCCGUCUAAGGUGGGACAGAUGAUUAGGGUGAAGUCGUAACAAGGUAAC
rnacentral:rRNA from 1 species